rnacentral:sRNA from 1 species
UCAGUACAAGAGCAAAGUGUUAGACAAC